ACGGAAGGCAGCAGUGGGGGAUAUUGCACAAUGGGGGAAACCCUGAUGCAGCAACGCCGCGUGAAGGAAGAAGGUCUUCGGAUUGUAAACUUUUGUCCUCAGUGAAGAUAAUGACGGUAGCUGAGGAGGAAGCUCCGGCUAACUACGUGCCAGCAGCCGCGGUAAUACGUAGGGAGCGAGCGUUGUCCGGAUUUACUGGGUGUAAAGGGUGCGUAGGCGGACUGGCAAGUCAGUGGUGAAAACUAUGGGCUUAACCCAUAGACUGCCAUUGAAACUGUUGGUCUUGAGUGAAGUAGAGGCAGGCGGAAUUCCCGGUGUAGCGGUGAAAUGCGUAGAGAUCGGGAGGAACACCAGUGGCGAAGGCGGCCUGCUGGGCUUUAACUGACGCUGAGGCACGAAAGUGUGGGUAGCAAACAGGAUUAGAUACCCUGGUA
rnacentral:rRNA from 1 species